rnacentral:rRNA from 1 species
UACGUAGGGUGCAAGCGUUAAUCGGAAUUACUGGGCGUAAAGCGUGCGCAGGCGGUUUUGUAAGUCUGUCGUGAAAUCCCCGGGCUCAACCUGGGAAUUGCGAUGGAGACUGCAAGGCUAGAAUCUGGCAGAGGGGGGUAGAAUUCCACGUGUGAGCAGUGAAAUGCGUAGAGAUGUGGAGGACACCGAUGGCGAAGGCAGCCCCCUGGGUCAAGAUUGACGCUCAUGCACGAAAGCGUGGGGAGCAAACAGGAUUAGAGUAC